GGCCUGGUAGCUUAACUGGUAGAGCUCCUGACGUGUUAUCAGGGAAAUCCAGGUUUAAUUCCUGGUUUGGUAAUCA
rnacentral:tRNA from 1 species